UGCCUCAGUUGAGCUGGCAGUGUCCUGGAAUUAUGGCUCGUACAUAUUAAUAUCAAAAUUGACCUCUGUUUAUUCGAGUAUUAAGGUGAACUUGAUAUGCAGCAGAUUAUUCAGACCUUGAUGUAAUAGUCGCUGCUUCCAAUAGCUCAAUGAAAGAGGGGGCAAUGAAUCAAAAGAGAAGAAAGAAAAUGUUGUUUGUAUAUGGAUAAAGAUGCACUUACAAGAAAUAAAAGACAUCUUACCAUUAUCAAAAAAAAAAAAAAAGGAAAGAUAA